UACGUAGGGGGCAAGCGUUGUCCGGAUUUACUGGGCGUAAAGCGCGCGUAGGCGGAACGAUCAGUCCGGUCUGAAAGCCCCCGGCUCAACCGGGGAGGGUGGCUGGAAACUGUCGUUCUUGAGGGCGAGAGAGGAGGGUGGAAUUCCUGGUGUAGCGGUGAAAUGCGUAGAGAUCAGGAGGAACACCCGUGGCGAAGGCGGCCCUCUGGCUCGACCCUGACGCUGAGGCGCCGAAAGCGUGGGGAGCGAACGGG
rnacentral:rRNA from 1 species